UACGGAGGGUGCGAGCGUUGUCCGGAAUCACUGGGCGUAAAGGGCGCGUAGGUGGCCUGAUAAGGGUGUGGUGAAAGUCCGGGGCUCAACCCCGGAUCUGCCGUGCCGACUGUUAGGCUAGAGUACUGUAGGGGCAGGCGGAAUUCCGGGUGUAGCGGUGGAAUGCGUAGAGAUCCGGAGGAAGACCGGUGGCGAAGGCGGCCUGCUGGGCAGUUACUGACGCUGAGGCACGAAAGCCAGGGGAGCAAACGGG
rnacentral:rRNA from 1 species